rnacentral:rRNA from 1 species
UCCCCUAGUAACUGCGAGUGAAGCGGGAAAAGCUCAAAUUUAAAAUCUGGCGGUCUUUGGCCGUCCGAGUUGUAGUCUGGAGAAGUGCUUUCCGCGCUGGACCGUGUAUAAGUCUCUUGGAACAGAGCGUCAUAGAGGGUGAGAAUCCCGUCUUUGACACGGACUACCAGUGCUUUGUGAUGCGCUCUCAAAGAGUCGAGUUGUUUGGGAAUGCAGCUCAAAAUGGGUGGUGAAUUCCAUCUAAAGCUAAAUAUUGGCGAGAGACCGAUAGCGAACAAGUACCGUGAGGGAAAGAUGAAAAGCACUUUGGAAAGAGAGUUAAACAGUACGUGAAAUUGCUGAAAGGGAAACGCUUGAAGUCAGUCGCGUCGUCCGGAACUCAGCCUUGCUUUCGCUUGGUGCACUUUCCGGAUGACGGGUCAGCAUCGAUUUUGACCGUCGGAAAAGGGCUGGAGUAAUGUGGCACCUCCGGGUGUGUUAUAGACUCUAGUCGCAUACGGCGGUCGGGAUCGAGGAACGCAGCGCGCCGCAAGGCAGGGGUUCGCCCACUUUCGCGCUUAGGAUGCUGACAUAAUGGCUUUAAACGACCCGUCUUGAAACACGGACCAAGGAGUCUAACAUACCUGCGAGUGUUUGGGUGGAAAACCCGAGCGCGCAAUGAAAGUGAAAGUUGAGACCCCUGUCGUGGGGGGCAUCGACGCCCGGACCUGACGUUCUCUGACGGAUCCGCGGUAGAGCAUGUAUGUUGGGACCCGAAAGAUGGUGAACUAUGCCUGAAUAGGGUGAAGCCAGAGGAAACUCUGGUGGAGGCUCGUAGCGAUUCUGACGUGCAAAUCGAUCGUCAAAUUU